AGGCAGCAGUGGGGAAUAUUGGACAAUGGGGGAAACCCUGAUCCAGCGAUGCCGCGUGGGUGAAGAAGGCCUGCGGGUUGUAAAGCCCUUUCGGUGGGGAAGAAAAACGGGGUGUGAACAGCGCCUCGUCUUGACGUUACCCACAGAAGAAGCACCGGCUAACUCCGUGCCAGCAGCCGCGGUAAUACGGAGGGUGCGAGCGUUAAUCGGAAUUACUGGGCGUAAAGGGCGCGUAGGUGGUUGGGUAAGUCGGGUGUGAAAGCCCUGGGCUUAACCUGGGAAUGGCAUUCGAGACUACCUAUCUAGAGUCUGGUAGAGGGAAGUGGAAUUUCCGGUGUAGCGGUGAAAUGUGUAGAUAUCGGAAGGAACACCAGUGGCGAAGGCGACUUCCUGGACCAAGACUGACGCUGAGGCGCGAAAGCGUGGGGAUCAAACAGGAUUAGAUACCCUGGUAGUCCACGCCCUAAACGAUGAGAACUGGCCGUUGGGGGAGUUAAAUCCUUGAGUGGCUCAGCUA
rnacentral:rRNA from 1 species